rnacentral:miRNA from 1 species
CCGCGCGGGGCUGGGCUGGGCUGGGCUGGGCUGCGCUGCGCUGGGGCGGGC